CAGCUGAUCGGCGGGUGGGCAAUGGGGCUUCCACGGAGGCCUCCGUGUAGGCCGCAGUGAAGCCUGAGCUCGAGUAGGGCCCAAGCAAGCCAGGAAGGAGGAGGCAGCCAGCGUGUCCUCUGCAGCAGAAGACCCCAGACCAGCAUCUGCUUAACCCAGACCAGCAUUUGCCAGUGAACCCUGAAUACCGUGCCAGACCAACGUGUACUGUCCGGUACUUCCAUUCUAUGGCAUAUCAAGUCUUCUUAAAGAAGAAUGUAUCAAGGGUUCCUAUCAAGAUAGAUCUUUGAUGCACCAGAGCCUGACUAUUUCAGAGCCCAAUAAAUAAGCGAACAUGCAGCCGUUGAGAUGACACAGAACUGAGACUGCAGUCCUCCCGGGUCACUUUCUCUAACUCUCUUCCCUGAGACAUCUCAUCAAGCUUCUUCCAUGAAGAUCGGAAUCCUUUGCUUUGCUGUUCUUUCAUGGAUGCUCUUGGCCUCUCCAGGAUAUGACUGUGCCAUACCACCAUCUUCUGACGAGACCUGUGCAUAUUAUGCGGGAGUUUGUAGUACUGAGCCAUGCAAACCAUACCAAUCGGUGGGACACUGUAAUCAUCCAACAUAUUGUUGCAGGCCGCAGUAAGAUAACCCAGGAAGGUCCUGAGGACUUGGAGAGAAGUUUCCCUCUUCAAAUCAGAAAGCACUAUGGUCUCCAUUGCAACAGCAGACAUCGUUCCUUUGGCCUCUAGAAAACCUUGUCAUGGGCCAGUCAUCCUGCCUCCUGGAUCAGAAGAUCUGUUUUUCUUUUCAAAAAAUCCUAAUUUGAAUAAAUAUAUAAUAUGUU